rnacentral:lncRNA from 1 species
GCACGAGGACAUUAUGUUAAAUCCAACUAGUGUCUCCAAAACUGUCUCAUGAAAGAAAUGCACAAAAGCCUUCUGCUGAUGUUCUGGAGGCCUCUUCUGGGUCAGCCUGCCUUUGCUGAGCUGUGAGUGGUGUCUACGAAUGAUGAAGCUGCCACUUCUGACUUGUGUGAACUGACGGCUGAUAUACCUUGACGAUAAAGACUGGACUCGCUCCAAAGAGCUACUUCUAAACAGAUCCACAUCCUCCGUAUCCU